GCCCCCAUAGCUCAAUUGGUAGAGCAGCGCCCUCUUAAGGCGACGGUUUCUAGGUUCAAAUCCUAGUGGGGGUA
rnacentral:tRNA from 1 species